CAGUAGCCGCGGAAUACGGAGGAUCCAAGCGUUAUCCGGAAUCAUUGGGUUUAAAGGGUCCGUAGGCGGUCUUGUAAGUCAGUGGUGAAAGCCCAUCGCUCAACGGUGGAACGGCCAUUGAUACUGCAGGACUUGAAUUAUUGGGAAGUAACUAGAAUAUGUAGUGUAGCGGUGAAAUGCUUAGAGAUUACAUGGAAUACCAAUUGCGAAGGCAGGUUACUACCAAUUGAUUGACGCUGAUGGACGAAAGCGUGGGUAGCGAACAGGAUUAGAUACCCCUGUAGUCCCUGUCUCUUAUACA
rnacentral:rRNA from 1 species